rnacentral:rRNA from 1 species
UUAAGCGACUAAGCGUACACGGUGGAUGCCCUGGCAGUCAGAGGCGAUGAAGGACGUGCUAAUCUGCGAUAAGCGUCGGUAAGGUGAUAUGAACCGUUAUAACCGGCGAUUUCCGAAUGGGGAAACCCAGUGUGAUUCGUCACACUAUCAUUAACUGAAUCCAUAGGUUAAUGAGGCGAACCGGGGGAACUGAAACAUCUAAGUACCCCGAGGAAAAGAAAUCAACCGAGAUUCCCCCAGUAGCGGCGAGCGAACGGGGAGCAGCCCAGAGCCUGAAUCAGUGUGUGUGUUAGUGGAAGCGUCUGGAAAGGCGUGCGAUACAGGGUGACAGCCCCGUACACAAAAAUGCACAUGCUGUGAGCUCGAUGAGUAGGGCGGGACACGUGGUAUCCUGUCUGAAUAUGGGGGACCAUCCUCCAAGGCUAAAUACUCCUGACUGACCGAUAGUGAACCAGUACCGUGAGGGAAAGGCGAAAAGAACCCCGGCGAGGGGAGUGAAAAAGAACCUGAAACCGUGUACGUACAAGCAGUGGGAGCACAGAGCAAUCUGUGUGACUGCGUACCUUUUGUAUAAUGGGUCAGCGACUUAUAUUCUGUAGCAAGGUUAACCGAAUAGGGGAGCCGAAGGGAAACCGAGUCUUAACUGGGCGUUAAGUUGCAGGGUAUAGACCCGAAACCCGGUGAUCUAGCCAUGGGCAGGUUGAAGGUUGGGUAACACUAACUGGAGGACCGAACCGACUAAUGUUGAAAAAUUAGCGGAUGACUUGUGGCUGGGGGUGAAAGGCCAAUCAAACCGGGAGAUAGCUGGUUCUCCCCGAAAGCUAUUUAGGUAGCGCCUCGUGAAUUCAUCUCCGGGGGUAGAGCACUGUUUCGGCAAGGGGGUCAUCCCGACUUACCAACCCGAUGCAAACUGCGAAUACCGGAGAAUGUUAUCACGGGAGACACACGGCGGGUGCUAACGUCCGUCGUGAAGAGGGAAACAACCCAGACCGCCAGCUAAGGUCCCAAAGUCAUGGUUAAGUGGGAAACGAUGUGGGAAGGCCCAGACAGCCAGGAUGUUGGCUUAGAAGCAGCCAUCAUUUAAAGAAAGCGUAAUAGCUCACUGGUCGAGUCGGCCUGCGCGGAAGAUGUAACGGGGCUAAACCAUGCACCGAAGCUGCGGCAGCGACGCUUAUGCGUUGUUGGGUAGGGGAGCGUUCUGUAAGCCUGCGAAGGUGUGCUGUGAGGCAUGCUGGAGGUAUCAGAAGUGCGAAUGCUGACAUAAGUAACGAUAAAGCGGGUGAAAAGCCCGCUCGCCGGAAGACCAAGGGUUCCUGUCCAACGUUAAUCGGGGCAGGGUGAGUCGACCCCUAAGGCGAGGCCGAAAGGCGUAGUCGAUGGGAAACAGGUUAAUAUUCCUGUACUUGGUGUUACUGCGAAGGGGGGACGGAGAAGGCUAUGUUGGCCGGGCGACGGUUGUCCCGGUUUAAGCGUGUAGGCUGGUUUUCCAGGCAAAUCCGGAAAACUAAGGCUGAGGCGUGAUGACGAGGCACUACGGUGCUGAAGCAACAAAUGCCCUGCUUCCAGGAAAAGCCUCUAAGCAUCAGGUAACAUCAAAUCGUACCCCAAACCGACACAGGUGGUCAGGUAGAGAAUACCAAGGCGCUUGAGAGAACUCGGGUGAAGGAACUAGGCAAAAUGGUGCCGUAACUUCGGGAGAAGGCACGCUGAUAUGUAGGUGAAGCGACUUGCUCGUGGAGCUGAAAUCAGUCGAAGAUACCAGCUGGCUGCAACUGUUUAUUAAAAACACAGCACUGUGCAAACACGAAAGUGGACGUAUACGGUGUGACGCCUGCCCGGUGCCGGAAGGUUAAUUGAUGGGGUCAGCGCAAGCGAAGCUCUUGAUCGAAGCCCCGGUAAACGGCGGCCGUAACUAUAACGGUCCUAAGGUAGCGAAAUUCCUUGUCGGGUAAGUUCCGACCUGCACGAAUGGCGUAAUGAUGGCCAGGCUGUCUCCACCCGAGACUCAGUGAAAUUGAACUCGCUGUGAAGAUGCAGUGUACCCGCGGCAAGACGGAAAGACCCCGUGAACCUUUACUAUAGCUUGACACUGAACAUUGAGCCUUGAUGUGUAGGAUAGGUGGGAGGCUUUGAAGUGUGGACGCCAGUCUGCAUGGAGCCGACCUUGAAAUACCACCCUUUAAUGUUUGAUGUUCUAACGUUGACCCGUGAUCCGGGUUGCGGACAGUGUCUGGUGGGUAGUUUGACUGGGGCGGUCUCCUCCUAAAGAGUAACGGAGGAGCACGAAGGUUGGCUAAUCCUGGUCGGACAUCAGGAGGUUAGUGCAAUGGCAUAAGCCAGCUUGACUGCGAGCGUGACGGCGCGAGCAGGUGCGAAAGCAGGUCAUAGUGAUCCGGUGGUUCUGAAUGGAAGGGCCAUCGCUCAACGGAUAAAAGGUACUCCGGGGAUAACAGGCUGAUACCGCCCAAGAGUUCAUAUCGACGGCGGUGUUUGGCACCUCGAUGUCGGCUCAUCACAUCCUGGGGCUGAAGUAGGUCCCAAGGGUAUGGCUGUUCGCCAUUUAAAGUGGUACGCGAGCUGGGUUUAGAACGUCGUGAGACAGUUCGGUCCCUAUCUGCCGUGGGCGCUGGAGAACUGAGGGGGGCUGCUCCUAGUACGAGAGGACCGGAGUGGACGCAUCACUGGUGUUCGGGUUGUCAUGCCAAUGGCACUGCCCGGUAGCUAAAUGCGGAAGAGAUAAGUGCUGAAAGCAUCUAAGCACGAAACUUGCCCCGAGAUGAGUUCUCCCUGACUCCUUGAGAGUCCUGAAGGAACGUUGAAGACGACGACGUUGAUAGGCCGGGUGUGUAAGCGCAGCGAUGCGUUGAGCUAACCGGUACUAAUGAACCGUGAGGCUUAACCUU